CCUACGGGCGGCAGCAGUGAGGAAUAUUGGUCAAUGGCCGGAAGGCUGAACCAGCCAUGCCGCGUGAAGGUCAGUGCCCUAUGGGCGUUAAACUUCUUUUGUGCGGGAGCAAUAAUGGUCACGUGUGGCCAGACGAGAGUACCGUACGAAUAAGCAUCGGCUAACUCCGUGCCAGCAGCCGCGGUAAUACGGGGGAUGCAAGCGUUAUCCGGAUUUAUUGGGUUUAAAGGGUGCGUAGGCUGUGAGGUAAGUCAGCGGUGAAAUGCCCCCGCGCAGUGGGGUGAAGUGCCAUUGAUACUGCCAUGCUGGAAUGCGGAUGCCAUGGGAGGAAUGUGUGGUGUAGCGGUGGAAUGCAUAGAUAUCACACAGAACACCGAUUGCGAAGGCAUCUCACGAAUCCGCGAUUGACGCUGAUGCACGAAAGCGUGGGUAUCAAACAGGAUUAGAUACCCCUGUAGUC
rnacentral:rRNA from 1 species